GACGAACGCUGGCGGCGUGCUUAACACAUGCAAGUCGAACGGAAAGGCCCUGCUCUUGCGGGGUGCUCGUGAGGCGAACGGGUGAGUAACACGUGAGUAAAAUGCCCUUGACUUAGGGAUAACUCCAGGAAACUGGGGCGAAUACCGGAUAGGAGCUCCUGCUGCACGGGGGGGGUUGGAAAGUUUCGGCGGUUGGGGAUGGACUCGCAGCUUAUCGGCUUGUUGGGGGAGUAGGGGCUUACCAAGCCUUUGACGGGUAGCCGGCCUGAGAGGGUGACCGGCCACAUUGGGCCUGAGGUACGGCCCAGACGCCAACGGGAGGCAGCAGGGGGGAAUAUUGCACAAUGGGCGGAAGCCUGAUGCAGCAACGCCGCGUGCGGGAUGACGGCCUUCUGGUUGUAAACCGCUUUCGCCUGUGACGAAGCGUGAGUGACGGUAAUGGGUAAAGAAGCACCGGCUAACUACGUG
rnacentral:rRNA from 1 species